UUACAAUGAAGAGUUUGAUCCUGGCUCAGGAUGAACGCUAGCUACAGGCUUAACACAUGCAAGUCGAGGGGCAGCAUUUUAGUUUGCUUGCAAACUAAAGAUGGCGACCGGCGCACGGGUGAGUAACACGUAUCCAACCUGCCGAUAACUCGGGGAUAGCCUUUCGAAAGAAAGAUUAAUAUCCGAUGGUAUAUUAAAACCGCAUGGUUUUACUAUUAAAGAAUUUCGGUUAUCGAUGGGGAUGCGUUCCAUUAGUUUGUUGGCGGGGUAACGGCCCACCAAGACUACGAUGGAUAGGGGUUC
rnacentral:rRNA from 1 species